GGCUCAGGACGAACGCUGGCGGCGUGCCUAAUACAUGCAAGUCGAACGGUCUUUCUAUGGAAGCUUGCUUCCACUGAGAAGAUAGUGGCGAACGGGUGAGUAACACGUGGGUAACCUGCCCAUAAGAGGGGGGAUAACAUCCGGAAACGGGUGCUAAUACCGCAUAGUUUUCUUGAUCGCAUGAUCGGGAAAGGAAAGACGGCCUUUGUGCUGUCGCUUAUGGAUGGACCCGCGGCGUAUUAGUUAGUUGGUGAGGUAACGGCUCACCAAGACGAUGAUACGUAGCCGACCUGAGAGGGUGAUCGGCCACAUUGGGACUGAGACACGGCCCAAACUCCUACGGGAGGCAGCAGUAGGGAAUCUUCCGCAAUGGACGAAAGUCUGACGGAGCAACGCCGCGUGAGUGAAAGAAGGUUUUCGGAUCGUAAAACUCUGUUGUCAGAGAAGAACAAGUUGGAGAGUAACUGCUCCAGCCUUGACGGUAUCUGACCAGAAAGCCACGGCUAACUACGUGCCAGCCGCCGC
rnacentral:rRNA from 1 species